GAUGAACGCUGGCGGCGUGCCUAAUACAUGCAAGUCGAGCGAACAGACGAGGAGCUUACUCCUCUGACGUUAGCGGCGGACGGGUGAGUAACACGUGGAUAACCUACCUAUAAGACUGGGAUAACUUCGGGAAACCGGAGCUAAUACCGGAUAACAUGUUGAACCGCAUGGUUCAACAGUGAAAGACGGUCUUGCUGUCACUUAUAGAUGGAUCCGCGUCGCAUUAGCUAGUUGGUAAGGUAACGGCUUACCAAGGCAACGAUGCGUAGCCGACCUGAGAGGGUGAUCGGCCACACUGGAACUGAGACACGGUCCAGACUCCUACGGGAGGCAGCAGUAGGGAAUCUUCCGCAAUGGGCGAAAGCCUGACGGAGCAACGCCGCGUGAGUGAAGAAGGUCUUCGGAUCGUAAAACGCUGUUAUUAGGGAAGAACAAAUGUGUAAGUAACUAUGCACGUCUUGACGGUACCUAAUCAGAAAGCCACGGCUAACUACGU
rnacentral:rRNA from 1 species